CCUACGGGAGGCAGCAGUGGGGAAUCUUGCGCAAUGGGCGAAAGCCUGACGCAGCCAUGCCGCGUGAAUGAUGAAGGUCUUAGGAUUGUAAAAUUCUUUUAGCAGGGACGCGGUACCUGCAGAAAAAGCCCCGGCUAACUUCGUGCCAGCAGCCGCGGUAAUACGAAGGGGGCUAGCGUUGCUCGGAAUUACUGGGCGUAAAGGGAGCGUAGGCGGGUUAUCAAGUUGGGGGUGAAAUCCCGGGGCUCAACCUCGGAAUUGCCUUCAAAACUGAUAGCCUAGAGUAUGAUAGAGGUAUGUGGAAUUCCGAGUGUAGAGGUGAAAUUCGUAGAUAUUCGGAGGAACACCAGUGGCGAAGGCGACAUACUGGGUAUACUGACGCUGAGGCUCGAAAGCGUGGGGAGCAAACAGGAUUAGAUACCCUUGUAGUC
rnacentral:rRNA from 1 species